rnacentral:rRNA from 1 species
GACGAACGCUGGCGGCGUGCCUAAUACAUGCAAGUAGAACGCACAGUAUAUACCGUAGCUUGCUACACCAUAGACUGUGAGUUGCGAACGGGUGAGUAACGCGUAGGUAACCUGCCUGGUAGCGGGGGAUAACUAUUGGAAACGAUAGCUAAUACCGCAUAAUAUUAAUUAUUGCAUGAUAAUUGAUUGAAAGAUGCAACUGCAUCACUACCAUAUGGACCUGCGUUGUAUUAGCUAGUAGGUGAGGUAACGGCUCACCUAGGCGACGAUACAUAGCCGACCUGAGAGGGUGAUCGGCUACACUGGGACUGAGACACC